ensembl:ncRNA C04C11.15 ncRNA
AUAAAUCACAAGAAAAACACCAAAAAAGUUGAAGGAAUUCCAAAUAUUUCCCAUUUCAAAAUUGUGCAAAGAAAUGGAAAAAAAAGAAGAAAGUGAGAAAGUGAUGGCACGACUGUUCAAACAUAAAGCAUCAUUUCAUUUUUGACGUUGACGCCUUCUUUU